CACGUAGGCACCAAGCGUUGUCCGGAUUUAUUGGGCGUAAAGAGCGUGUAGGCGGCCAGGUAGGUCUGCUGUGAAAACUCGAGGCUCAACCUCGAGACGUCGGCGGAAACCAUCUGGCUAGAGUCCGGAAGAGGAGAGUGGAAUUCCUGGUGUAGCGGUGAAAUGCGCAGAUAUCAGGAAGAACACCCGUGGCUAAGGCGGCUCUCUAGUACGGUACUGACGCUGAGACGCGAAAGCGUGGGGAGCGAACAGG
rnacentral:rRNA from 1 species